UUAAGCUAUUUCUCUGCUGACUUGGCGUGGAGGAAGGAGAGGUGUCCACUAACGAGGCAGCUGAAUCAUGACGGUAUGAAACAGGCUGGAUGUGACUCCUCUGUAAAGAACCUUGGUCUAUGAGUCCUAGCAGACAGGCAAAAUAUUCAUCAUGUGCAUAAAAACCUGGAGUUGGUCCGCAGCUCUGUUGUUCAGCAUCAGUGGCAAGUACUUUGCUGGGCAGCUUCUCAUAUCUGUGUCACCAGAGACUGACCCAGGUGUUUGGAUGCCUUCCAGCUCAGGAAGUCCAAGGUGCCAGCUUGGAUUUGUCUCAAGGAAGUAAGACACUCUUUAGAGAAAAUCUGCAGCUUAUCCAGAAGAUUCAGCCACAAACACACCAUGUAGUCCAAGAAGUGAGUAGACAACCAGAAUAAAGACAGAUGGAAGGAGUCCCAGCAUCGUGACUGUGGUUGGGCAUCUGGCUGCGAGUGUUUAUUCUCACUUCUGCUAGGGGACUCCCACAUGUGGCUCCUGCCUUCUCCCCCAUGUGUUUCCUCUUCGCCUGCCAUGCAGAAGAUGCUUUUCUUGAGACAAGGGAAAGCCAUCAUCAUGUCAUCUUGCCCUGAGGGCUGUUUGCUGGGUGCCUUUGCUCUCACAGGUGAAGGACAUCUGCUUUCUGUAUGGGCUAGUCAGGAACAAGGGUCCAGAGAUGGCAAUUUCCAGCUGGGUCCCUUGUACAACCCAGCAAUAUUUCAAUGCUGUGUAUGUGACACAUGCAAAAAACCACCACUCUUAGUGUCUUUGGGAGGUGGGCCCAAAUAGGCCCAUAUAUUCCCCAUAUCCAGAUAUAGGGGCAUAUCUGUGCCCUGACAUUUGGCAUUUGAGGUCUUUGGAGCAGGUGCCAGCUGUGGCUGGGACUGGUGAGCAUUGGUGAGUGGAGACUGAGGGGAAGGGCCCUGUUCUUCUGUGGGGAAAGGGGCGGGAGAAGCUGGAGAGCUUCUGCAUGGCCAUGGAGGAGCAAAGCCUGAUAGGACUGCCAGUGCACACCAUGGGUGUGCUCGCUCUCCAGAUCCACCUUCCCAUGCUCCUUCCCCUGCUCUGAGCCCCGAGACACGUCAGUGAGUUGUCAGGAUAAUGGCAUGGUGGCCUGUUAGUGACUUUGUGGGCUGUUCCUCCAGCUGAAACCAUAUAGUCCCAGAACAGCUGAGGGUAGCAGCCAUACUCAAGCAGGGCCACCCAGAGCAGGUUGCCCAGGACCAUGUCCAGGUGGCUUUUGAAGAUCUCCAAGGAGGAGACCCCAUGGCCUCUCUGGGCAACCUG